CGCUCGCCCCCGCCCCGGCAGAGCCCACCCCCGCCGCGCGCGCGCCCUGGGGGGCCGUUGGUAAAGCCCGUCCAACGGCCCGGCGCGCGCCCUGGUCGGCGAGCUCUUACUAAUGGCGGGUCCGCACGCAGAGGGGGGCUGAGGGCGGUGGCUGCCGGCGUCCUCCGUCAGGAUAAGGGCUGGGCUGCUGCCCCCCCGCAGCGCCAGCCUCCGUGCGGGCCCGCCGCCCGCGGAUUUGCCCUCUGGGCGUCCCUCCCGCCGGGUGCGUGUGGGGCAAACGCUCCCCUCCCGUCCUCUCCCCGCUUCGGGCACCCUCAGUCCUCCUCGAGCGGGUGGAGCGCUGGGCUUAUUUUGAUCUGAGAGGAAGCAGCCUCCAUUUUUCCUACUACAGCCUUUGCUGCUGAGGAACUUGUUUGAAACCUAUCUGGCAUCUCCAAUGGGACGUUGAGGCUGUUGAUGAUACAGUCUGGGCAGAACAGCAGUGGGUCCUGAAGGCUCCACCACACAAGUGAUCCUUGUUGGACUGUGAGCUGAUGCAAAUGGCCAAGUGCACCCAGCUGACAUGAAUUUCUGAUCCCAUGGGACAAACAUGGCCUGGGUGAAAGAGAGAAUUGUUCUCUGAGUUUAAUGGAAGAAAAAAAACAAAAGGAAAGGAGAGCUCUACCUGAGCAGCCUUGGUGGGCAUCCUACCAAACAGGGUGUUUGGAAAGUGCUGCAGCUGUGAUGAAGAAUGUAGAAGUGCUCACUAGCACUGUCUUUUGGCAAUUUGUCUGAUAACAGGUUGCUGCUUGGAAGUUCUGAGUAUGUCCUGCUCCCACUCCUGUCACAGGAAGCAGACAGUUGGUUCAGUGCUUGGUAAGCACAAAACUCCGCUGCACGCUGAGGUUUAGGGCUGCUUGAUGACUUCAGAGAGUCAUCUUAAGCCUGAUACUUUCCAUACUGCAAAAGCAAAAAUUUCUGUUUCUUUAAGGAUAAGAAUGCUGGCUAAUCAGUGGAUAAUGUGAUGGCCAGAGGUGUGUUAGAAUGAGAACUAUUGCUGCUCCUGCCUUCCCUGGUUUAGCAGGACUCCCCCUCACAUUACAGCAAAGCUUCCAGCAGAUGCUGAUGGAUCUCUUGUGCUUAGAAACUGAGGCCUAGGCCAAUAAUUCCAGCCAUGCUAAAAUCUCUGAGAGACCUGAAGUAGACUACAGGGCAACAGUAUCAGUUCAGGAAUUCUGCUAAAAUGCUGAUCCUAACCAACUAGAUGUCUUUGUGAAGGUAAUUUGCAGGUGCACAGCAUCCUUCACCCAUUUCUUUUCCAUCUCUUUUUGGUCUUGGGGGUGGGUGGGUGUUAUGACAAGACUAUGUGGGGCAAGAUAUGUAAAGUCUAGAGAGAUAUAUGUGUAGCCAGAUUUCCUUGUGCCAAAAGGCAGUUUUCCUGGCUCCUUAGUUCAACCAUCCCUUAAAAAUAUAAGAUAAAGAAAGAUUCAAGGAUGUGGGUGACAGUCUAUAAAAAACAAUGCUGGGAACCUCUGAGGUUAUCUCAGCUUGUUGGUUUUGGUUUGUGUGGUCUGAAUCUAUUGGAUGGUUGAGAAAAUUAUGCCCUCCUUACUGUGACUUGUGCCAAAUCAGUAUCUCUAAGAUCUCUGAUUUCUUAAGGGAAUUUUUCUGGGGGUGGAACUUUUUCCUGUCUAGAAGGCAACAGAGAGCUUACCCAGUUAUCUGGAAAGACAUAUUAUUGAUGUGGUGGUGCUAUUUUAUGUGAGUGGCAACUACAGGAGUAUGUUAUUAGUCUAUUUCUCAAGUAUAAUGUGAAGGUUUCUUAAGUUGAGAAAGAAGUGGAGAAGGCUGCAGUUCCCAUUAGCUCUUAUACAAGAUGGGAUAAAGAUAUACCUAAAGAAUAUGCAGUUUGGGCCCCCUGCUGUCAAUGAACAGAUGUUAAUAGCUUUUUUCUACAACUCUGAGUCCAUACCUCUUCCUGCUGGCCACAAAAAGGCACUGGCAUCAAGGAUGUGCUAUGUCUAGUACUUUUUUUGAACCUAAGUGCUGAGAAGCUUGCCUGGCACUGUAUUGUAUAAUACACUGUUCCAGACUACAGUCCACACAAUGUGUAUGUUGUACUAAAGAUCCUUGAAAGCGUAUGUGUGGGUUUUCUUUUUAAAUAUCACCUACAGGUAUAUACUAUUUCUGGAGCCAUGCUUCUAUGUGGGGACAGAGAACAGGCCUGCACUGUGCAAUAUUGUGUUGUUUUCUGCAUGGCAGUAUAGGGUCACUCUUACUGCCCUGCGUAUGGUUGAGCUGGUUGCUUGAUUAGAGAUCAGAAGGGGAUUUUUGGCAAGGGUACAAUAGCAGAAAUCUGAAGAACACUUGCCUUUUUGAGACUCAGCUUUAGGUGGACUCUAACUACUUCAUCUGUCUUUUUGGACCUUGUUCUGUCUAUGCACUUAUUUAACAACAAUAAAAAACCUUGGCCUUUAUUCUGAAUCCGUCAACGUGGCACAAGUGAGUCUCCAUCUGCUGUUGCCCAUAUAUAGAAUUUAUGGUCACAUUGACAUGUAAUUAUAGAGUGCUAAUGAACUGAGUGAUAAUUAAGAGAGGUGUGGCUGCAAAGAGGAGGCAGCCAAAAAUUAAUGGUUAUUUCUUAACUAAAUUAAUGGUUAUUUCUUAACUCUACCUACCCUCUCUAUUUCCCACUCUGAUUUGCUGAAUUGUUCCAUUUGGACUGAUGUUUUUAAUGCUUACAGCCCAAAGGUGUGUUUUUGUGUUUCUCUUUUUUUCUUUUCUCCUUAAGAAGAAAAUUGGUUCCUUAUGUUCUGUACAUUAGGUUUCCUUAACGUUUUUUCAACAUGCAUAAAAUUACAGAUCUCUAGAGAGAAUGAAAUACCACAUUGCACAUUGUAAUACCACACCCAAUCGCUUGCUUCUCUCUGCUGCCAAACCUUCCAAAAAUCAUAACAUAGCAUUAAUACAUUCAUGGGCACUGGUUUUCCAUGCUUGAUACAAAGUAAAAAUAUAACUGAGUAACAAGGCAUAAAAGUAAGUGAUGUCAGUUUGUGGUGGAUAAAUACAAUUCUGGGGAAUAAAAAGGUACCUUUGCCUUGAAUUUGCUGCCUACAAAGAGAGUGGAGAGAUCUGGUGUGUGAGGACUAAUUUUAACAGUGCCAUCCUGUGUGUAGCUAUGGAACUACACUGUAGGUUACAGUGAACUAGCACCCCUGAGAGAAUCGAAAAGAUGACAUCAAAUUUGAUAGUUGAAGCAGAUUUUAUGAGGAUAGUAAAUGGUACCUAAUAUAAACCAAAAGAUAUUAUUCCUAGGUUAUCACCCUGUACUGUGAACUUGAAGCAUAAUACUGUGUUUGGAUAUAUGACUGUUUGCAAACCAAUGAGAGCGAGCAUAGGUUUAUGGACUGAUGUGUAUUUUUCACUUUUUCUUGAUUUGCAUUUGUAAAGCAAAAUGCCUUUUCUGAGUGCCAGUUGUGGAGCAGACUACGCAAAUCAUCUUUUCUCCGUUGCUCUGGCAUACAAGAAGCAUGGUGUGUCGUACGUUUUGCUCUCUCCCUGACAAGCUGUUCCCAAGGAAGCAGGGACGUGGUUGUGGAGCUUGUCUCCAGCUACAUCUCUGAGAUGAGGUGCUCAGCAUAUUAAAAUGAUGCUGUUGUGCUAUGUGGCUCGGUGAGAUGGAUCCCAGCUCUGCUCCAAAUAAGUCAUUUACUCUGUUAUUGCACCCUCCCACUAUAUCAUUCGUACUGUUUUUUCUACUCCCAUUUAAAAAAUUUUCUUUCUAACCUUUUCCUUUCCUCAAGCUCUUUCUCCACCCCUGCUAACCUCUCAUAUUCUGUGUGUAUCUCUUGCUGGCAAUCCUGAGCUCCACAGUCUUGCUCUUCUCUCUUACCCCUCCAGGACUUUGCUUUUCCUUGUUGAGUUUAUUCUUGUUUUCCCCUCUCCUCAUCACUUCCCUCUGUUAUUUCCUUUCUCCACCUUUGCUUUGCUUGGACUAUGUCAAGUCAGCUAUCUGGGAGUGUACAUGGAACAUUUGAGAAAACCAGAGUAAGGUAAAGGAAGGUAAGUGAAAGAAGUCUCUAGAUAGUUGUUUAAAGACGGAGUUGUGUUUCCAGUGCUUAGGGGGAGUAAAUAUUGAGAACUGUGUUCCAGUGAGCUCCUGUUCAUCUUGAAUCCUGUCAGCAGGGAACCUUGCUACAAUAACAAGAAGUCAUUAGCUGCCUUGUUUUAUAUCCAUUGAAUGAGACACAAUUUUUACAGGAAAAUCUGUGUGACUCCUCCCUUUUCCCUCUUCUCUCCUAGCCACAAAACAAUUUGGAGAAGGGAUGGGAUACCAAGUAUUUAAGAAGCCAUUAAAAAAGUUCUUUUUUGUUCUUUUCAUCAACUUUCUCCCUGUCUUCUUGCCAGCAUGUGCAGUAAGUUCCUGUCCCUGAGAGUUUGCACCAAAACCACAGUUUGAACCAAGCUGUACACAAUGGGCGUCUGUUAGUUCUCGCCAACUGAAGCUCCCAGCAGUAGAUGGAAAAUUAGACAUACACCACUGCACAAUAAAUCAUAUUGUAAUUCACCCAGCUAGCAUCACCACGAACAGGCCUUGAAAAAUGUGUUGUGUGUGCUUGAAAUCAUACUUGUGCUCCUGCCAUUAAAGAAUAAAAAAAAAACUCGUAAAAAAGUUUCAUUUACUUUUUUGUUAUAAAAUACUUUUUACUGGUGCCAGCUGGAAGGAAAAUGACCCAGUUAGAUCUCAAAAUUAUGAUGUAGCUUUAAGUGCUAUGUUUAGAUUAACUGCCAAAAUGUUAGUAUAAAGUGGUAGGUGUUUGUGCUGCAGAUAAUAACUAAUGUACUGUUGGUCAAGAUAGGCCACUGUUCUGUUAUUAUUGUAUGGAUCUUAUGACUAAACAUUGGAGCAAGCCUAGUGGAACAACAAUAUUUUACUGUGCCUGGAAUACUAGCUUGUCAGAACUUAAUUGGGGUGCCAAAAGUGUAAUGAAUCAGAUGGGGAAGAUGUCUUUUUUUGUUUUCCUCUCUGUGCUGAUAUUUCUGAUUUGUAUUGCUUUCUGUAAAAUGAACUGUAUUUGUCUUAUAUGUGUCCUGGCAAGUGUUGUCUCAAAUACCCCUCUGUUUGUCAAAUGAUUAUGGUCUUCCGAAGACAGUGAAAAAUGUUCAGUUCCCCCCCCCCACUUGUGAAACUGGGUUAAACGUGUUGUAUAUUUUAAAGACCUGGCUUACAAGGAAAAAUCAAGGUUAAAAGCACUUCAGAACUCAAGUUGUGCUGAUGUGUAUGACCUUUGGGCCCAGAAUUAGCUAUUUUUACUCUGUUGAUAUAAAACAUUAACCUCAGUCAAAUGCUUCUUGCAAGAAAUGAAAACAAAACUGUGAUGUUUAAAUACACAAUCUAGAUGUACCUACACCAGUCGCCAUGAAAAAGUCAACAUUUGUUAACAGACACCACAUGGUGGAUUCUGUGGUACUGCAGCUAUUUCUUUGAAUAGGAGGGGAAGUACCUGUGGGAGAGGAAACAUCUGAAAUACCUUGAAUUUACAUAAGCUCCUAACCAAUCUUCUGUUGUCAUCAAUCCAUACUUUGAUUUUCCCAAUUCCCUUCUCUCAUCUGCUCUAUCCCAGGCAAUAAUCAUGACUGGAUAUUGUUCAGUAAUGUUAGGUACCUGUCUUCUUGCCCCUGCUCAUGGCUCCAGUAUUACUGUUGUGUGGAAAGAUUUGGUAAAUUAUACCAGCUGCAGUAAUGACCAUUGUACUGGACUUCUUUUUAAGGAGAGAUAUUAGGUUGAACCAAAACAGGAAAUUCUUGAACAUGUUUCUUGGUCUAGUUCUGUCUCAGAACUGAGCUGCCUUCAGUGUUGUGUUUGGUCUUGCUUUUCAUAGCUGAUAAGACUUCUAAAUAAAACUUGGGAGUAUUUUCAGAAAAGGGGAGUUCAGAAUAACCUCUAACUCUUGACUAGUCCUAGGCUAAUGGAUGGAAGUGCCAUCUUUACCUUGCUUAGAGAAACAGUAGAUUUCCAGGAGACAUGCAAAUAGCAAUGCUAAUUAGCAACUUGUGAAAAUUGCUGUUUUCCAAAGCCUCAUCUUGGACACCAUUUUAAAGGAAAAGGAUAUUACCAACAACAUAACCAGGAUAAAAUUUAUAUUCAGAAUGUACACUAAAGUUUCAUUGUUCUUCCGAAAUUAACUUUCAAAUGAUUUUUCUGUUUAUGUAAAAUCCAGCACAAUAGUUCUGCAGCUAUGGUACACAAUUGAGAGAGGUGAUUGAUGGGUUAAUAUUUAUGCUUUUCUUCAACUGAAGCUAAUAAAAUACUUGCUGUUUUAAUGGCUGUGGUUUCAGGAAUGGAUAGGGAAUAACUGGCAAUGUUUCAAAUAGGGGAAGUAGUGUACUUCAAAUAAUGCUAUUACAUUGAUCUUUUUACAGUAAUGUUUUCCUUAACAUUCAGAAUGACCAAAAUUUAGGCAAAAGCCUCUGGCUGCCAAAUUAAAAGAACAGCAGAACUCUUUCCAGAGUCGUAUUACUGUAUAUUUGGGAGAAAGAUAUAUGAGAAUACAGCAUGGUGUAAAAUGGAUAUGCGUAAAAAUACAGG